ensembl:lncRNA
CUCAGACAGACUCUCCCAAUUAGCAGAGUCCUGCAGCUGAUGUCUGGGGCUGCAUCUGUGUGCCCUGUGCAUUACUACAGCUGAGACACUGGCUAGGCCUGCAUGGCCCGGGGUAGGUAACCACCUCAGCCACAGGGCAAGGAGGAAGCAGCUGGGCCUUCUUGAAAGAUGCGAUUUCCCUCAGUUCCUCUUGCUUGGCUGUGAAGGCGGCUAUUUGCAUGUUUAGUCCUUUCAUCCUUCUGUGGCCUGGGUGGAUCUGGAGCCGGCAGAGUGACUCAUCUGGGUCAUGCCACAGGCCUUGGCUUCCUUCUCAGUCUCAGCAAGGAGCGACUCCACACGCUGACCGUGGCGGAUCCCACAGGAUGUCGGUAUGUGGGGCCGGCUCCUAGUGCAACUCGGACUCCAGGUGAGCCCUUGUGUCACUGGCAUCUCCAGGCUCCCCUGAGCCUUGGGCUUAUGGCAGUCUCAGUAUAACUCCAGAGAUGUCUGCCUCGUCCUUUUCCCUCUGCUCCCCAGAGACACAUCUCAUGUCCUUGUCCUUGCUGCAUGCUUGCAGCUGCUUUGUGUCCCACAGACUUGCUUUGCACCUUUCAGAAACUUUGCCACUUUUGCUGCAUAUACAAAAUAGCCUUCCUCCUCAGCACAAGUGCAUUUAAUCUCCCUGAACCCUUAAAAGAAAAUAUUCUUUUAAUUUUACUCCUGUGGUAAUCUCUUGUCUUCCCUCACAGUUACUUUUUGGCUGGUGUUCGCUUCUGAGAUCUUUUAUAAUGUUUCAGUGUUCUUUGAGCAGUGGCACUUGCAUGCUGCAACCAGACAUGGAUGAUGAAAGCCAUAUGCAAAGAAAUGGUCCUCCUCUGAAGAGCUCACAGACUGCAGGUGGUGGUGGGGAAAAGGUGGAUUCCCAAAGCAGCUACUUGGCAUUAUUGGCAGCAGCAAUCUGAAAAGAAAGACCCAACCAGACUGCAGCUUUGUUUGGCAUCAAACUUGCCUCCUGAGAUGAUCACACAAGAAGUCUUUUAUCACUUUGGCAGCUGAGAGCCAGAGCUGCUUGUGGUGGAAGUCGCUGGGACCGUAACCCCGAGUUGUCGUGGGAUGAGAGUCAAGCUUGGCCUGUCAGCAAGGCGAGUUGCAGCAGUCUGAGCCCCUGCCAGGACACGUCAGUACUUCUGAGCGUGCUUCCCCCGGUGCUGCUCUCAUUAAGGAAAAGGCCACAACCCUUGGUGAGACCAAUCUUUCUAGAGAUGUUUCCGGUCCCAAUUUCUUUUGGCAAGUCAACUCCAUAAUUCAGGUAUUUUGCCCAGUUGAAGGAAGGUGUGGGUGGCACAGUAGGAUCACCAAGAGACCACAAGACUUGGAAGAGUAAUAUUCUGCACUUCGUAUCCACGUUAACUAAUACUUGGACUCCUGCAGAAGCUCUUUGAGGAAGAGACUGGCUGUGUGGUUUGUGCCUGUUUAUAUUGUCCCACAGCUGGAGCUUCUGGACAUGUCCACUGCCAAAAACAUCCCCUCCACUGUGGGUGAUGGAUGAUGCAAAAGGAUGGCAUAAUAUAGCAAUGAAGAGCUGAAAAUAGGUGGUUUGAAUUAAGUAAAACAUAUGGGAUUUUCUCCAGGUAAAGAACUUGAAUCAGCUUUAGAAUUUUGCUCUGUGUGGUUCAAGAGAAUCCAAAGAGAUUGUAAAAAAGGUGCAGAGACAGGCCUCCCUGUUUCAGACUUUCACGACAUGAGUUGCUGAGAGUCUUGAUUUUAAAAGCACCUCUUUUUGUCACGUCUCCACUCUUUCAAGGUCAGAUGGAAGGAAAAUUGUGUUAGUGAUGAGCAGUGAUAUAAGUAUCCAUGAGCCUGAGAGAAAACCUUGGUGCUGUAGGGGUGGCUGUGUUAUGUAGUACAUAAUCUAGUGCUCCUCUGAUGCAUUGGAAGGCCUUGUGCCAGCUCAUGCAGCCCAUGCAGUGUCCGUAUUUGAAACGUAGGCAGGGUUACUGCUAUCCUCUAAAAACAGGUAAAGGAAGUCGUCUCAGAGCAAACUGAAACUGUUACUACAAGCAGCCCCAUUUUUGCCUGUGUAAGUCCUGCUGGUUUUAUUUGAAUGGACACAUGGUGGAGCCUCUCUAUGCCAAGGAAAAGCCACUGCAAGCACUUCUCACUCUUCAUUUGUAUUUCUCCCUGAUGAGGAUUUCUUUUCCUGUUCAUCCUGUGGGUUUGGUCUCUACUGCCCCUUUCUGGAAAUAUCUGUAAAU